rnacentral:rRNA from 1 species
GCAUAUAACUAAGCGGAGGA